AACGAACGCUGGCGGCAUGCCUAACACAUGCAAGUCGAACGAGACCUUCGGGUCUAGUUGCGCACGGGUGCGUAACGCGUGGGAACCUGCCCUUAGGUUCGGAAUAACUCCCCGAAAGGGGUGCUAAUACCGGAUAAUGUCUUCGGACCAAAGAUUUAUCGCCUUUGGAUGGGCCCGCGUUGGAUUAGCUAGUUGGUAGGGUAAAAGCCUACCAAGGCGACGAUCCAUAGCUGGUCUGAGAGGAUGAUCAGCCACACUGGGACUGAGACACGGCCCAGAAUCCUACGGGAAGCAGCAGUGGGGAAUAUUGGACAAUGGGCGAAAGCCUGAUCCAGCAAUGCCGCGUGAGUGAUGAAGGCCUUAGGGUUGUAAAGCUCUUUUACCCGGGAUGAUAAUGACAGUACCGGGAGAAUAAGCUCCGGCUAACUCCGUG
rnacentral:rRNA from 1 species